rnacentral:rRNA from 1 species
GGCGGCGUGCUUAACACAUGCAAGUCGAGCGAAGCGCUUUUGCGGAUUUCUUCGGAUUGAAGCGACUGUGACUGAGCGGCGGACGGGUGAGUAACGCGUGGGUAACCUGCCUCAUACGGGGGGAUAACAGUUGGAAACGGCUGCUAAUACCGCAUAAGCGCACAGUACCGCAUGGUACCGUGUGAAAAACUCCGGUGGUAUGAGAUGGACCCGCGUCUGAUUAGCUAGUUGGGGGGGUAACGGCCUACCAAGGCGACGAUCGGUAGCCGACCUGAGAGGGUGACCGGCCACAUUGGGACUGAGACACGGCCCAAACUCCUACGGGAGGCAGCAGUGGGGAAUAUUGCACAAUGGGGGAAACCCUGAUGCAGCGACGCCGCGUGAGCGAUGAAGUAUUUCGGUAUGUAAAGCUCUAUCAGCAGGGAAGAAAAUGAAGGUACCUGACUAAGAAGCCCCGGCUAACUACGUGCCAGCAGCCGCGGUAAUACGUAGGGGGCAAGCGUUAUCCGGAUUUACUGGGUGUAAAGGGAGCGUAGACGGCAUGGCAAGCCAGAUGUGAAAGCCCGGGGCUCAACCCCGGGACUGCAUUUGGAACUGUCAGGCUAGAGUGUCGGAGAGGAAAGCGGAAUUCCUAGUGUAGCGGUGAAAUGCGUAGAUAUUAGGAGGAACACCAGUGGCGAAGGCGGCUUUCUGGACGAUGACUGACGUUGAGGCUCGAAAGCGUGGGGAGCAAACAGGAUUAGAUACCCUGGUAGUCCACGCCGUAAACG